rnacentral:rRNA from 1 species
UACGGGGGAGCAAGCGUUGUUCGGAUUUACUGGGCGUAAGGGCGCGUAGGCGGCGUGACAAGUCACUUGUGAAAUCUCCGGGCUUAACUCGGAACGGUCAAGUGAUACUGUCGUGCUAGAGUACAGAAGGGGCAACUGGAAUUCUCGGUGUAGCGGUGAAAUGCGUUGAUAUCCUAAGGAACACCGGUGGCGAAAGCGGCUCACUGGAUCUCUUCUGACGCUGAGGCACGAAAGCUAGGGUAGCGAACGGG